rnacentral:rRNA from 1 species
UCUUAGUUCGUGGAGUGAUCUGUCUGCUUAAUUGCGUUUCACUAAGGGCCCAUAAAUUCAAGGUAUGUUAGCUAUCGUUUCUCAAUUGACCCCUUGUCUUCGAUAAGCGCGUGUCUUUUAGAGUUUAAACAUUGCGCAUGCUGUUGGGUCCUGAAAGCAACGAACGUGACCGCAACGUCUUAUUGCCUUUAUCUUGCUAUAUUUUAAUUUAAUUAAAAAUAGCUAACAGAGGCUAAUUUAAAAUUAGACGGACCGCUGUACUUUUCUUAAACCAGAGGAAGGUUGCGGCAAUAACAGGUCUGUGAUGCCCUUAGAUGUUCCGGGCUGCACACGUGCUACAAUGAUCAGUACAGUGAGCAUCUCAAUAUUAUACACCGUAUUAAGCGCUUAGUUGCGAUUAUUGGCUCAUUAUUGGGUCUUUUAAUUGUAUUUCUAAUGCGCGCGGUAAAGCCUGCUUCGAGAGUAAGUGGGUAAUCCAUUGGAAGUAAUGAUUUCUCUUUUUAUAGCACACCUAUAUACGGCAUUCAUUCCCGGGACGACUAGUUUCGUCUUUUUUGUGCGAAUGUAAUGUAUUCUUUAUCCGUAUGUGCGAUUGUCA